rnacentral:ribozyme from 1 species
CUUGAGUGGAAUAACCAUUGUUCUACUAAUGGUUGUACUUUCAAAAGACGUUGGGGAGAAAACGAAGCAGAAGCAGAAGAAAGACUCGUAGCUAGCGGCUGGCUGUAGCUCAUCUAUG